GAUGAACGCUGGCGGCGUGCCUAAUACAUGCAAGUCGAGCGAACAGACUAUGCGCUUGCUCCUCUGACGUUAGCGUCUGACGUGUGAGUAACACGUUGAUAACCUACCUAUCUGACUGGGAUAACUUCGUGAAACCGGAGCUAAUACCGUAUAAUCUCUUAAUCCUCAUUGUUGCAUGGUGAAUGACUGUUUUGCUGUCUCUUAUCACUGGAUCCUCGCCGCAUUUGCUAUUUGGUAAGGUAACGGCUUACCAAGGCCACAAUGCGUAGCCGACCUGAGAGGGGGAUCGGCCACACGGGAACUGAGACACGGUCAAGACUCCUACGGGAGGCAGCAGUAGGGAAUCUUCGGCAAUGGGCGAAAGCCUGACGGAGCAACGCCGCGUGAGUGAUGAAGGUCUUCGGAUCGUAAAACUCUGUGAUUAGGGAAGAACAAAUGUGUAAGUAAAUAUGCACGUCUUGACGGUACCUAAUCAGAAAGCCACGGCUAACUACGUG
rnacentral:rRNA from 1 species